rnacentral:rRNA from 1 species
UGGGGAAUCUUGGACAAUGGGAGAAGGCCCGAUCCAGCAAUAUCGCGUGAGUGAAGAAGGGCAAUGCCACUUGUAAAGCUCUUUCGUCGAGUGCGCGAUCAUGACAGGACUCGAGGAAGAAGCCCCGGCUAACUUCGUGCCAG